GACGAACGCUGGCGGCGUGCUUAACACAUGCAAGCCGAACGAUGAACUUGGAGCUUGCUCUGGGGGAUUAGUGGCGAACGGGUGAGUAACACGUGAGUAACCUGCCCUGGACUCUGGGAUAACUUCGAGAAAUCGGAGCUAAUACCGGAUAGGACCUUGCACCGCAUGGUGUGGGGUGGAAAGUUUUUCGGUUUGGGAUGGACUCGCGGCCUAUCAGCUUGUUGGUGAGGUAAUGGCUCACCAAGGCGUCGACGGGUAGCCGGCCUGAGAGGGCGACCGGCCACACUGGGACUGAGACACGGCCCAGACUCCUACGGGAGGCAGCAGUGGGGAAUAUUGCACAAUGGGCGCAAGCCUGAUGCAGCAACGCCGCGUGCGGGAUGACGGCCUUCGGGUUGUAAACCGCUUUUAGUAGGGAAGAAGCCUUCGGGUGACGGUACCUGCAGAAAAAGGACCGGCUAACUACGUGCCAGCCGCCGCAGUAACAC
rnacentral:rRNA from 1 species